AAUGGAAGGCAUUCUUAUCGUAAAUCAUAAUAAGGAGACUUGCAAUAAUUAAGCGAACUUUAUUGCAGUACCUGUACGAGCUGACGAGAGAGAGAACACUAACCUCCCCCUAAGUGUACAAUUGGUUUGACCUCAGGUAAGAUGGCGGUCCCUAGGUUUCCUGCAUUUCAUCCAGUUGGCAAGUCCUGCAGUCUGCAAGCCGGUCCGCCUUUCGUGAAAAGAAGCAUGCGCGACCUGCAGAGCUGGAGAGCGAAGCAUUUUGGGAGUUGAAGUCUCCUACACUGGUCCCUCGUCUAGGCUCGGGGUUCCAGCGGCACAUUUUUUUCUGCUCACACUUCGAGUUCCGGGACAAGUGAACGAAAGUUGGACCCCAGGAGUGGGGUGGCGCAGGAGUCGAGAAGUGACGAUACUAGCCCUCUGGACACUUAGACCCAGUUCCUGCUCUUACAGGAGUCCUAGCCAGAGCUGCCCUAGCCAGAAUAAAAUAUUUUCUCUCUUCAAUCUGCCUCUCCACCCCACUUUCCCGGGCAACCGCCCCAAGGCAGGUGUAGGACACUUUCUGUUGUGCAAAACUGAUUAUGACGUCCUCUUGGUUGAACAUCUCCCAAGACUUUCCUUUGUGCACCAAAAAAGAGCGCAAGCUCUUCUCUUAACAUCGGGGUUUCUGCAUAAUUUGGACACUACCGCCAUCCUUUCACCCCCCACCGCCCCAAGCCACUUCUGCUGCUCUCAUAAAAAUUUCCUGAGGCUCCCACUCACUAAAACUGCAGACUGUUUCUGGAUUUCUUCUGUGUUGCCUCCCUCCCUUUGCACUGGCAAUUACUUCUGGUACUACCACCUCCUUGACCAGCUAACUUCGAUAAGGAAACUAAGGCUCAGAGAGGUCAAAUAACUUCUCCAAGAUUUACUACUAGUAAAUGACAGAGCUGGAAUCCAAUCAAGUUGGAGUCAAGCUUACACAUGCCAUGUAUCUGAGACCAAGAUGUUUGGACUUUCUCUGAAGACUUGAGCAUCUGUGGAUUUUGGUAUCUGCAGGAGGUCCUGGAACCAAUUCCUCCAGGGGAUGACUUGUAGUUGGGAGGGCACGAUUGUAAGCGGAAUCACCGUGAAUCUGUGGGCUGAAUCAAGAACUCCGACUACUCAAACACCACAACUGCAUGGCUGUGAUGGUCCAAAAUGUGAGUGCCAGCUCUAGGUAAAGUUCCGAAACAAGUGCAACCUGAUCUAUUCCCAACUUAUUUGCUUUCUUGGCAGAUUCACUGUAUAUUAAAACCAAGCAAAUACUGUGUUGGAAAAGGCAAAAUUGUAGACAAUAAAAAGAUCAGUGGUUGCCAAGGAUUUGGGAGAAGGGCAGGAGGGAUGAACAGAUGAUACAUGGGCAUUUUUAGGGCAGUGAAACCCUUCUCCAUGAUACUGUCAUGUGAAUACAGGGCUACACAUUUGUCAAAACCCACAGAACCUUGCAACAUAAAAAAGCGAAUCUUAAUGUAAACUAUGGACUUCCGUGAAUAAUGAUGUGUCAGUAUUGGUUCAUCAGUUGUAACAAAUGUAUCACACUAAUGCAAGAUGUUAAAAAUAGGAGAAACUGGGUUUGUUGGGGGGAGAAGUAUGGAGGUACUUGGUGUAAUUUCCGCACAAAUUUUCUGCAAACCUAAAACUAAAACAAAGCCUAUUAAAAUGAACGAAACAAAACAAGCCUCCCAGAAUUCCCUGGCAGUCCGGUGCUUAGGACUCCAUGUUCCCUCUGCCAAGUGCCGAGGUUCAAUCCCUGGGCUGAGGUUCAAUAUCUGGUUGGGGAACUAAGACCCCACAAACCUCAUGGCU